AUUGAACGCUGGCGGCAGGCUUAACACAUGCAAGUCGAACGAGUGGCGGACGGGUGAGUAAUGCCUGGGAAUCUAGCUGAUGGAGGGGGAUAACUACGGGAAACUGUAGCUAAUACCGCGUACCAUAGGAUGAGCCCAAGUGGGAUUAGGUAGUUGGUGAGGUAAAGGCUCACCAAGACGACGAUCUCUAGCUGGUCUGAGAGGAUGACCAGCCACACUGGGACUGAGACACGGCCCAGACUCCUACGGUAGGCAGCAGUGGGGAAUAUUGCGCAAUGGGGGCAACCCUGACGCAGCCAUGCCGCGUGAGUGAAGAAGGCCUUCGGGUUGUAAAGUACUGUCAGUCGGGAGGCGUUACCGACAUAAGAAGCACCGGCUAACUCCGUGCCAGCAGCCGCGGUAAUAC
rnacentral:rRNA from 1 species